rnacentral:rRNA from 1 species
AACGAACGCUGGCGGCAUGCCUAACACAUGCAAGUCGAACGAGACCUUCGGGUCUAGUGGCGCACGGGUGCGUAACGCGUGGGAAUCUGCCCUUGGGUUCGGAAUAACAGUUAGAAAUGACUGCUAAUACCGGAUAAUGUCUUCGGACCAAAGAUUUAUCGCCCAGGGAUGAGCCCGCGUAGGAUUAGCUAGUUGGUGAGGUAAAGGCUCACCAAGGCGACGAUCCUUAGCUGGUCUGAGAGGAUGAUCAGCCACACUGGGACUGAGACACGGCCCAGACUCCUACGGGAGGCAGCAGUGGGGAAUAUUGGACAAUGGGCGAAAGCCUGAUCCAGCAAUGCCGCGUGAGUGAUGAAGGCCCUAGGGUUGUAAAGCUCUUUUACCAGGGAUGAUAAUGACAGUACCUGGAGAAUAAGCUCCGGCUAACUCCGUGCCAGCAGCCGCGGUAAU